rnacentral:rRNA from 1 species
UACGUAGGUGGCAAGCGUUGUCCGGAAUUACUGGGCGUAAAGAGCGCGCAGGCGGUCGUUCAAGUCGCGUGUGAAAGCCCCCGGCUCAACUGGGGAGGGUCACGCGAUACUGAUCGACUCGAAGGCAGGAGAGGGUAGUGGAAUUCCCGGUGUAGUGGUGAAAUGCGUAGAUAUCGGGAGGAACACCAGUGGCGAAGGCGACUACCUGGCCUGUUCUUGACGCUGAGGCGCGAAAGCUAGGGGAGCAAACGGG